GAUGAAGAACGCAGCGAAAUGCGAUAAGUAAUGUGAAUUGCAGAAUUCAGUGAAUCAUCGAAUCUUUGAACGCACCUUGCGCUCCUUGGUAUUCCAAGGAGCAUGCCUGUUUGAGUAUCAUUAAAUUAUCAACUGUGCCAAUUUGGUUACAGAUUGGAUGUGGGAGAUUCUUUUUGCAGGCCUUUGACUUCUCUUUGAGAAAAAAAUAAAAGGUCGGCUCUCCUGAAAUGUAUUAGCAGUGCCUUUGUUGGUUCAUUAGGUGUGAUAAAUUGUCUACAUCUUCGCAUGAUACCUUCAUUUGUAAAGGUCAUAUUGCUUCUAAAUUGUCUUUGAUUGGACGCAAAACAUAUAUAAUGUUUGACAAACUUGAUCUCAAAUCAGGCAGGACUACCCGCUGAACUUAAGCAUAUCAAUAAGCGGAGGA
rnacentral:misc_RNA from 1 species